GACGAACGUUGGCGGCGUGCUUAAUACAUGCAAGUCAACUGAAGCAGUGGUAGCAAUAUCGCUGUGGAGGUGGCGCACGGGUGAGUAACACGUAGGUAAUCUGCCUUCAGGUCUGGCAUAACUCCGGGAAACCGGGGCUAAUAGCAGAUGAUGCAGCGGCUCGACAUCGAGACAGUUGUUAAAGCUAUGGCGCCUGAAGAUGAGCCUGCGUCUGAUUUGCUAGUUGGCGGGGUAACGGCCCACCAAGGCAACGAUCAGUAGCUGGUCUGAGAGGAUGAUCAGCCACACUGGAACUGAGACACGGUCCAGACUCCUACGGGAGGCAGCAGUAAGGAAUAUUGCUCAAUGGGAGAAAUCCUGAAGCAGCAACGCCGCGUGAGGGACGAAGGGCUUUUGCUUGUAAACCUCUGUAGUGAGAGAAAAAAAUCCCAAUCUUUGGGACAUGAUGGUAUCUCAAAAGUAAGCCCCGGCUAACUACGUG
rnacentral:rRNA from 1 species